GACGAACGCUGGCGGCGUGCUUAACACAUGCAAGUCGAACGAAGUGGCGAACGGGUGAGUAACGCGUAAUCAACCUGCCCUUCAGAGGGGGACAACAGUUGGAAACGACUGCUAAUACCGCAUACUGAAGGAGUGGAUUGCGUCUGAUUAGCUAGUUGGAGGGGUAAUGGCCCACCAAGGCGAUGAUUAGUAGCCGGUCUGAGGGGGUGAACGGCAAACUUUGGACUUAGACACGGGCCAGACUCCUACGGGAGGCAGCAGUGGGGAAUCUUCCGCAAUGGACGAAAGUCUGACGGAGCAACGCCGCGUUAGUGAUGACGGCCUUCGGGUUGUAAAGCUCUGUUAAGCGGGACGCGGUACCGGAAUAGAAAGCCACGGCUAACUACGUGCCAGCAGCCGCGGUAAUAC
rnacentral:rRNA from 1 species